UGGGGAAUAUUGCACAAUGGACGCAAGUCUGAUGCAGCCAUACCGCGUGUGUGAAGAAGGCCCGAGGGUUGUAAAGCACUUUCAAUAGAGAGGAAGAUUAAGUAGUUAAUACCUGCUUAGUUUGACGUUACCUAUAGAAGAAGCACCGGCUAACUCUGUGCCAGCAGCCGCGGUAAUACAGAGGGUGCAAGCGUUAUUCGGAAUUACUGGGCGUAAAGCGCGCGUAGGCGGAUGAUUAAGUCAGUUGUGAAAGCCCUGGGCUCAACCUAGGAACUGCAUYUGAUACUGGUCAUCUAGAGUUUAAGAGAGGGAAGUGGAAUUYCAGGUGUAGCAGUGAAAUGCGUAGAUAUCUGGAGGAACAUCAGUGGCGAAGGCGACUUCCUGGCUUAAAACUGACGCUGAGGUGCGAAAGCGUGGGUAGCGAACGGGAUUAGAUACCCCGGUAGUCCACGCCGUAAACGAUGUCAACUAGUUGUUGGUCUUAUUAAAAAGAUUAGUAACGAAGCUAACGCGAU
rnacentral:rRNA from 1 species